rnacentral:rRNA from 1 species
UACGUAGGGGGCUAGCGUUGUCCGGAUUUAUUGGGCGUAAAGAGCGUGUAGGCGGCCAGGUAGGUCUGCUGUGAAAACCCGCAGCUCAACUGUGGGCCUGCAGCCGAUACGGGCGGGCUAGGAUUCGGUAGGGGAGACUGGAAUUCCUGGUGUAGCGGUGGAAUGCGCAGAUAUCAGGAGGAACACCGAUGGCGAAGGCAGGUCACUGGGCCGCAACUGACGCUGAGGAGCGAAAGCAUGGGGAGCGAACAGG